rnacentral:sRNA from 1 species
GUGUACAAUUAUUAAUCAUUAUCUAAUACUUCCUCUUAGGGGUGUCAAAAUGGGUCAAAAUUCAUGGGUCAACUCAACUCAACUCAACCCAUGAAUCCUAAUGAGUUGAAAAUUUUGACUCAAAUGAGUUAAUGAGUCAAAUGAGUUGAUGAGUCAAUUGGUUUGAUGAGUAAAAUGAGUUGGGUUGUAAUGGUUAAUGGUUUCAAUGGUUUACCCAAUUAACCCAUCAAGUUUUGUAAAAUUCAAUUAAACCAACUAAAAUCUCUAAACCAAUGUCAAUUUAAGUUUAACCAACACAUCUAAACCAAUUUAAUAAAAUUAAUAUUUUUCCAAAUUUCUUAAAUAUACAAGCGAUGAAAUUGAGAAAAAGUAAACUCGUAAUUUUUCCACCAAAAAACAUAAACCCGUGAUUUUCCCGCCAAAAACGUAAACCCGUGAUUUUCCCGCCAAAAACGUAAACCCGAGAUUUUCCCGCCAAAAACGUAAAUCCAUAAAUUUCCCGCCAAAAACUUAAACCCGUAAUUUUCCCGCCAAAAAUGUAAACCCGUGAUUUUCCCGCCAAAAACGUAAAUCCGUGAUUUUUCCGCCAAAAACGUAAACCCGAGAUUUUCCCGCCAAAAACGUCAACCCGUAGUUUUCCCGCCAAAAAUGUAAACCCGAGAUUUUCCCGCCAAAAACGUAAAUCCAUAAUUUUCCCGCCAAAAACGUAAACCCGUAAUUUUCCUGCCAAAAAUGUAAACCCGUGAUUUUCCCGCCAAAAACGUAAAUCCGUGAUUUUCCCGCCAAAAACGUGAACCCUUGAUUUUCCCGCCAAAAACGUAAAUCCGUAAUUUUUGCGCCAAAAACGUAAGCCUAUAAUUUUCCGCUAAAAAUGUAAACCCGUGAUUUUCCCACCAAAAACGUAAACCUAUAAUUUUCCGUCAAAAACGUAAACCCGUGAUUUUCCCACCAAAAACGUAAACCCGUAAAAAAUGAAAUCCGUAAAUAUCCUAAGUUUGAUGAUAAUGAAUUAAUAAUGAUAAUUAUUUAUUAUUGUUUUAUAAGAAUA